rnacentral:ribozyme from 1 species
ACAAAAUAAUGACAAUGAAAGCGAACAGAAACGGAAAAGAGCUGACAGCACGACUGGGAGGGACACAACCACGAAUUCGGUCAUAUACUUUCCUCCUUUUCUUUCCUCCUUUUCUUUCUUUCUUUA